rnacentral:tRNA from 1 species
GCCUGGGUGGCUCAGUCGGUUAAGCGUCUGACUUUGGCUCAGGUCAGGAUCUCGCUGCUUGUGAGUUCGAGCCCCACGUCGGGCU